UGCGUAGGCGGAUUAAUAAGUCAGUGGUGAAAACCUGCAGCUUAACUGUAGAAUUGCCAUUGAUACUGUUAGUCUUGAGUACGGUCAAGGUAGGCGGAAUGUGUAAUGUAGCGGUGAAAUGCUUAGAUAUUACACAGAACACCGAUUGCGAAGGCAGCUUACUGGGCCAUUACUGACGCUGAGGCACGAAAGCGUGGGGAGCGAACAGGAUUAGAUACCCUGGUAGUCC
rnacentral:rRNA from 1 species